CCACUCUGACUUCUCUUCAGAUAUCGAACAAAUCUUUCGCCUUUUACUAAAGAUUUCCGUGGAGAGCACUCUAAUGAGUCUAAGAUCGAUUUUUGUAAGGUGCCAUCAUGGCGCAA